rnacentral:lncRNA from 1 species
UCUUUUCUAUUAUACAAAGAGCUGUUGGAAAUGAAAAUUUCCUCUCCAACCUUGAGUUUAACAGCUAUGUUUCAGAACAUGGAGGUAGAGGCAGAAGGAUGGAAUUAAAAGGCAAAGAAGACUCAAAGGUAGGGAUAAAGAAAAACAAGGUAGCAGAAAAAGAGAAUAAGAUGAUAGGAGAGGGGGCAGUAAAAAUGCAGAGAUGCAGACAAGAAAGGAAAUAAGAAGAAAUAAAACUGGUGUGGAAGUAAAUGUCACAGAAAUGGGAAUGUUCCCAUGGGAAAGAGGAAAAACAUCAAGCUAAUUUCAAAGAGAGAAGCAAAAAUACCAUAUGUGUGGCAGCAGCCUCAUAUAGCCAGCUGUGACAAGUGUCCACGCUCCUGCCACCAGGUGAAGCCCUCGUCUUAACCUACCUGCCCCUCAAACUCUCCCAAGAUCAAUCCAACUGCAACCAGGAUUAUGCAUCCUGUGGCCUUGUACUUUCUCCUCCUUUAGAAUUUUAUUUUCUGUAGUGCAGGAGAGCUAUGCUCUGGGCCUUUGAUAGAUGCCUAUCAACCAUUAGCUGCUUCCUGACUCCCACUGUUCAUAAAGUCCUUGAGGGCAAUGGACUUGCAGAGGAACAAUGGGACUCUCAGAUGAAGAAGAUAAUGCAAUUAAGGAAGAGCCCACUGCUGGGUGCUUCUGUAAAUUCUGUGCCCAUCUCCAUAAUUGGCUUUACUGUGUCCUACAGAAGUUUUGCUUUCUCAUCUGUUUCUCUCACUAGAUCCGAAACACCUCACAUGGAAACCUGUCUGUUACUUUUCCAUCACAAUGACAAAAUAUCUGAGUCAUCAGCAGGUAAGAAGAUGACACAAUUUCGAUGAUGUGGCACAAGCCCUUUCAGUCGUGACCACCACUGCCACGGCACAACAGAACAGAGGAUGGGAGUGAUGUGCUAAACAAUUGAAGCCCAAUCAUCUUUCUUUAAGUCCGCUACUCAAGAGAUUCUCCAGUGCUGCAUUCCUUUUGAUAUCGGCUGCUUUCAUACCUCUUGUCCAUCCGUGUCUCAGGGUCUUGUCACAGGUGUGAUCCACUGUUUACUUCCAUGCCCCAAAAUGCCUUGAGG